rnacentral:rRNA from 1 species
CCUACGGGGGGCAGCAGUGAGGAAUAUUGGUCAAUGGGCGUACGCCUGAACCAGCCAAGUCGCGUGAGGGAAGACUGCCCUAUGGGUUGUAAACCUCUUUUGUCAGGGAGCAACGCCGGCUACGUGUAGCCGGACUGAGAGUACCUGAAGAAAAAGCAUCGGCUAACUCCGUGCCAGCAGCCGCGGUAAUACGGAGGAUGCGAGCGUUAUCCGGAUUUAUUGGGUUUAAAGGGUGCGUAGGCGGAAUGCCAAGUCAGCGGAAAAAUCGCGGGGCUCAACCUCGCUCCGCCGUUGAAACGGGCGUUCUUGAGUGGGCGAGAAGUAUGCGGAAUGCGGGGUGUAGCGGUGAA